UACGUAGGGUGCGAGCGUUGUCCGGAAUUAUUGGGCGUAAAGAGCUUGUAGGUGGUUUGUCGCGUCUGCUGUGAAAAUCCGAGGCUCAACCUCGGACUUGCAGUGGGUACGGGCAGACUAGAGUGGUGGUAGGGGGAGACUGGAAUUCCUGGGUGUAGCGGUGAAAUGCGCAGAUAUCAGGAGGAGCACCGAUGGCGAAGGCAGGUCUCUGGGCCACUACUGACGCUGAGAAGCGAAAGCAUGGGGAGCGAACAGG
rnacentral:rRNA from 1 species